rnacentral:lncRNA from 1 species
GGUCAGCCCGAUUUUAGUGCAAUUGAAAUCUCUCAAUCUCUCGAUCCUUUCCUUAAAAUCGUUGUCUGUGAUUAUGCUGGGAAAAUAACUAGUAUCGUUGCAAGGUGGCCUGGACUGGUAGCAGCCACGUUGCCAGGAUCUUUUCUGAGUGUGCACUGAAUUGACAGCUUGAUGCUAGGGCAUAUGAAUAACAGUUGAUUCUUGGAGAUAGACUAUAGGGUAUCCAUGCCUUCUCUGCCUCAUCAGAAGCCAUUUCUUCAUUCAGAGGUUCGACCACAGAUGUGCUUUAAAGGCCAUAUGUACUAGUUCAGCCAAAGAGGAUUAGACAACCCAGCGAGGUCACUGACGGGUGGCUAUCUCAUCAAUUCAGUUCUCAAUUAAAAUAAGAAAAAGAGGAUCAUGGGGGACCAACAGGCACAAA